rnacentral:rRNA from 1 species
GAGGAAUAUUGGUCAAUGGGCGGAAGUCUGAACCAGCCAAGUAGCGUGCAGGAAGACGGCCCUAUGGGUUGUAAACUGCUUUUGUAUGGGGAUAAAGUCAAUCACGUGUGAUUGUUUGCAGGUACCAUACGAAUAAGGACCGGCUAAUUCCGUGCCAGCAGCCGCGGUAAUACGGAAGGUUCGGGCGUUAUCCGGAUUUAUUGGGUUUAAAGGGAGCGUAGGCCGGAGAUUAAGUGUGUUGUGAAAUGUAGACGCUCAACGUCUGACUUGCAGCGCAUACUGGUUUCCUUGAGUACGCACAACGUUGGCGGAAUUCGUCGUGUAGCGGUGAAAUGCUUAGAUAUGACGAAGAACUCCGAUUGCGAAGGCAGCUGACGGGAGCGCAACUGACGCUGAAGCUCGAAGGUGCGGGUAUCGAACAGGAUUAGAUACCCUGGUAGUCCGCACAGUAAACGAUGGAUGCCCGCUGUUGGUACCUAGUAUCAGCGGCUAAGCGAAAGCAUUAAGCAUCCCACCUGGGGAGUACGCCGGCAACGGUG